UUUUUUUUUUUUUUUUUUUUUAAGAGUGCGCUUUCACCGUUUUGGAGAACUCCAUCCCCUCAGCCUGGAUAUCUCCGUCUUGCAACUGGGGAGAACUGGUCUGAGACUGAAGCUAAUGCAGAGGAAAGUAAGAGAGAAAAGGGACAGAGAGUGAGGGUUGAGAGAGAUCUCAUUUUGCUAGAGCCCUUGAAUUCAGCUUUGCUUAAAGUCAGCUACAUCCUCCCCAUACCAUGAACAACUGGGUUUCUAUCUCUGGCAGUGGAGAAGGUCCUGACUCAGUUUCCUCAUUCUUGUGUUGAGAUGUAAAAAAACUCGUGCUAGAAACCAGCUUAUAUGCCUCCCUCCCAGUCCCAUCAGGUGGCCACUGAUCACCUGAUCCUGAUUGCAGAUACGGUCUGAAGGUGGAGCUGAUGAAUAAGAGGGUGAGGGGUUGCUUCUAAAGGAAAUUCAGGUGCCUUCACCCAUAAAUGCAGAAAAGGACUCAGCAGGAAAACCCAUAGCUUUCCUCCACACUGGGCAGGGUGUAGUGGAAGACUUGUACUUACUGUUUUUUAGGGUGGACGCUAUCAAAAAUUCUGAGAGGCAAAUGCUUGUGUGGGCAGCUGGAAGCGGUAUGAUGAGCUCGGUUUCCCAGGAGGUUUUUCAGAGAAAUGAGAGAAUUAGGAGUGUCUGGGAAAUCACUGCAGGAUUUUAGUAGGGCUCUGGAGAUUGGGGCCCAAGGUUCUUCGCUCCAUUUUCUCAGGCCAGACUUGCACAGCCUGGCCAGAUUUCUGUGUGGCCUAGGUGUUUCCUCACCGCUCAGGAAAGACAACGUCCUCUUAGUUGUUUGAAACUGAAAUUGGCCAAUGAGUUCUACUUCUACCAUGACUGCUGAUGCUCCCUCCCUUUCUGAAGAGGCUCUUCCCCGUUAGGGUGACCCAUCGUCCUCAUUUGCCUGGGACUGUCUCAGUUUUAGCACUGAAUGUUUUGCAUCUUGGAGAGUCUUCAGUGCGAGGUGCACCAAGACAGUUGGUCAUCUGGGGUGGCGAAUCGGCAGACUUCAUAGAUGACUUUGACGGCAGCAUGCUGAUGCUGGGAACAUCCCGGAGGAGCUCGCUGGCUGACGGCAGAGGCAGAAUUGAAAACGGCUGAACCCAGAGAGCUAUGGUGGGGCUUGAGGUCAAGGCAAGCAGAGGUCUGAGGCUGUCUCAUACAACACUGCAAGGAAGAGGCUUUUGAUGGGGCCUUUGAAUUAGGUACUGAGAAAUGAUCACAUCGGUGCAUGGGGCUGGGGUAGGGAUGGGAAUGAACAUGUCAGCAUGGUCAGGAGCUUGUAUACACAGACAGCGCGAUGAGAAGCCAGGCAUUUUGGAGAGUGGUGACAGCCACCCCCUCAACACUCGCAAGGCGGGGAGCAAGUGUGCAGAUGGAGGCGUGUAUAUCAUGUGUCUAAAUAUUUAAAAGUUAUAAACCAGGCUAGCAAGUUCUUAAUUAAAUACAUUCUAUUCUCCUCCCUUGACAAAUAUACCUUCACAGCAAUCUAGAAGACCGUGUUGGAGUGCAGAAUUCCUAGUUUCUGGCAUGUCCUGCUGGAAUGAGACAGCAGGGGAAGAGGUGGGUCAGAUCUUCUCCCAUCCCCUCCUCCCCUCACCCUGCCCUCCCCGCAGGCUGCUAGGGGCCUCAGGCACACAUGUGGACCCUGAAACUCCAUCACAAACUAGGUCCACAACCCCUGCAAACAGCUGCCCUUUGGCUGUCCCAGGGGUGUGGCACUGGCAAGGAAGCGGCCAGAGCAGGCCUUGAAAGUCUGCAGGGAAUUCUCAGGUUCUGGGUACCAGAGUGCGGUCUC
ensembl:lncRNA